GGCCGGUUGGCGCAAUGGUAGCGCGCAGCCCUCCUAUAGAAGCCAUUCUUCAGGACAGGCUGAGGCUGUGGGUUCGAGUCCCACAUCGGUCG
rnacentral:tRNA from 2 species